ensembl:lncRNA
GGGGUCUCUGAAGUGAACCUCUGGACUGAGUUUGUGGUGUUGCUGCCUUGUGAAGCAUCUUUAAUGACAUUAUCAGCCGGAUAUGGUUGCUGUGUGGUUAAUUGCAGCCAACCCAAGAAAUCUCUGCACUAGUUGUGGCGCAAUUUUAUAAUAUAACUUUAUGGCUGUUGCCUAGCAUUAUUUAGCAGUUUGCACAACUAAGAUAGCUAGCAUUAGCUGAUAACGUCUCCUGUCAUCCAAAUGUGGUAACGUCUGGCUUAAACAAAUGGCGGUAUGCAAAACACUAAUGUCAUAACUUUGAAAAGGUGGCUGCAGCCAUAUUUGAUAUGCAAUCUGUAGAAAAACAGAAAUUUAAAUAAAAACUGUUAAAUCUGCUCAAACUUUCAGGCUGCAGCUCUAAAUAAAGUUGCUUUGUUUCACUUGCAUUAACACAGUGACCUUUGGUUUUGUGCUUGCUGAAGGUUUUAAAACUUUUAAAUAUUGUCUUGCGCUCCAGAGACAACUAAAGCCCCACAUGGGGAGAUGAGAUCCUGCCAACACGAAUGUUUCGUGGCCCUCGAGCCCCCGCGACGCCGUGUUACCCUCACUCUGGAGUCCCCGACCUGAGGCACAGCCACGUUUGAUCCGGUCGACAGUGUAACGGUGGAGUGUAUUUUGAAAAUUUCUUCUCUGAGUCUUCACAUGAAAGGAUCCUCCAGCUGUCAGCACACACCUGCUGGAUGACACCUGGAUGGGCCCAGCAUACGUUUAGCGCUGUGAAUCCUCAGAGUGGGUGGACUGGGUGAGGAGGAGGGGGAGAGGGCACAGUGAUAGGAGGUUUUAAUGAGGACCUCCAUCCUUAAACCUCCAGAGAGCCAAGACCUGAAGGGCCCCGCUGGCUGUGAGGUGGCGGCGCUGACCUCCCUCAGCUGCCUCUGCCAUCCACCACUUCCUGGAGAGUUUGAGCCAUCCAUUCACAGAAAAGUUGAGCAACUUUACACAACAAAAUGUGCAUUUUUAAACCUUGCGUCUCAUGUUAUGGCAAUACAUCAGGUCGUCAUAGAUUUCAUUCACAGUCAUUAAUG